AAAUCUUAAUCAUAUCAUUCAUCGUAUAUAGACUCCAAACACGUUUUUCAAACUCCUAUGAUCAUGUGUUCUCUCUUUGCCUCCGUCUUUGAUUGCUUUGUUCCAAAAUCAGACUCAAAGAUUAGCUCAACUGAUGAGAGUGACUUGAAAGUCCUGUCCUCAAAGAAACCAAAAAGCAAAUCCCCGAGAGCUCCGAUUAUGGUGUCUUACUUUCCCGCCGGUUCAAACCUUUCGCGUCUAUAAGUGCCAAAUAGAAGAGAAGAGAAGAUGAAGUAUUGGGAUGUUGAUUUUGAUAUAAACGAAAGAAGUUUUUGGUUGUAGACAUGUUGUAUGCGCAGGCUUUAAUUUUAUGUUUUAUUUAAUUAUGUACAAAUAGACCAUUUAGAUUGAUAGCAUCAUAUAUAUGCUUUGUAUUUAAGACCAAAUAAAAGAUUAAUGUUUAUAUACA